GUCUGUACCCAUGACAUAUGGAAGUUCCUAGGCUGGGGGUCGAAUCAGAGCUACAGCUGCCAGCCUAAGCUAGAGCCACAGCAAAAUGGGAUCUGAGCCACAUCUGCAACCUUCCCCACGGCUCAUGACAAUGCUGGAUCCCUGACCCACUGAGCAGUUCAGGGAUCAGACUUACAUCCUCAUGGGAUACUAGUCGGAAUCAUUUCUACUGCCCCACAAUGGGAAUUCCUUAGCUGUGCGUCAUUAAAGUGAAUCUGCCGAGAAAUUGGCUCAUUGACAAACUAAAUAUAAAGCCAUGAGGAAAUGGGAAAUCUGUUUCUAAUUAGUUUAAGGUGUACUGCAACGUUGGUAGCAUGAAGAAUAGAUGAGAUGAUGGAGCAGCAAGGAAGAGAGGAUUUAGUUGUUUUAUGUGCACUGGAGUGCUGUUUUAUGAUUGUGUCCUGGGUUGGAACUGAUGCUAUUAUGCUGGAGAACUAGUGAAUUUGGUCCUCUGACUCCAGAUGCUUCAGGCGCUACAUACACAAAUAUUUUUGUUUCCUUUCCAUAUUCCUCUCUUUAUUGGGGAAAGUUCAUUUUAAUCCCAUAUAUAUAUCAGGUUAGAGGACAAUAAAAUAAGAGAGAACCUCAUUAGAGAGUAGCAAAUGUCUGUCCAGGGUCUGUGGUUAACAGUAGCAUCUCCCAGGUCCAAACUCACUCUUUAACUUACAGUUUUUUCACUGUAAGCCAGAAAAGGCUCUAGUUCCUCAAGCAUGAGAAGCAACUAAAUGAUAUUUAUUUAUUUAUUUAGUAUUUUAGGACUGCACCUGAAGUAUAUGGAAGUUCCCAUGCUAGGCAUUGAAUUGGAGCUGCAAUUGCCAGCCUACACCACAAGUCCAUUAGUGCACAUAAAUCCUGUGUUCCCUCUGCUACUCCCGGCCUGGAGCCCAUGACCAGUUGUGUCAAUACACCUAGGGCUUUAGUAAUGUUCUCUCCUGAAAAAUGACACCUUGUCCCCCCAACCUUCCCCCCCAACACAAAUGCUUCCCUAUAACGGAUGCCAGCUUGCUGUAAUUUUGACUCAUUAAAGCAUGAUUCAGACCAGCCCAUCAUUAUGCUCACUUUCUAAUUACCAGGACUGGACACUUUUAGACAGAAAGAAAAACCACACACUGAGAUCUUUGAUGCUUGAUAUUGACUGACUUUUUAUUCUGGUCGUGAUUUGUUCUUCCUUACAAUUCCUCACCCCAUUCUAGCUUCCUCAGUUUUUAUAUAUAUAUGUUUUUUCUUCCAAUUCCACAGCAAGAAGACAUAAUGCCUCAGCAAGAUUUAAUAUGUAAAAUCUUUCCCCCUUAUUCCUCAUCCUUUCCUUUAUCAUUAGCUCUUUUAAGCCCAGUAGCUGCUAACAGUUACAUUUUUACUGACUGAUGACUUAGCAAAGAGAUCUCAAAUCCACUUAUUUCCAAAUAUUAUUGAGAGCUAUGUCCCAGCUUCCUACCAAGCAGACCAUCUCUGUCCUUUCUUCUCACUUCUACUGUUCCUUUCCUCUUUACAGUCACGAUUUCCCUCUAUUGUCUAUUUCUUCUGUUACUCGUUCUUUUCUUCUUUUUACACUCACUUUUACCCUGUUUCACAUGUAGUGACUUGUACAUUCAUUUCCUCUCCUGAAAAUAAAAUAAGAACUUCAAAGAGGCAUGAAUGAUCUCUCCUGUUUUAAUAAUUAAAGAUGAAUCCUCCACAAAGCUUGCUGUGCUGUUCCCAGUGUUCGCAUUAGAUCAGAAACGGCAUUUUUUAGCCCCCAAAGAAAUAUAUCAGAGUAGUUCCCACCCUGAAAUACAUGGCACGAAGCCCAGCUUUUCCCUGGAACCAGAGUGUUACCAAUGGGUCUGUUUCAAAGUAAGUGUAGUCAGAAUAUGGGCAGGAGGAUUUGAUAGUGUUUGAUAAUUCACAAUUUAACAGCUAAGGAAAGGCGGCUUAUUAUUAAAUGCAAAUAAAACGAAAUGAAGUCCAGCUGUCUGGGUGCAGAUAGAAAUUACACAAAGCCUAUAAGCCACUCUGGAGAUCUUAACUACUCGACAGAACAGAGCUCCGGGAGCUGGCAGCAAGCACAAAUCCCUUCUUUGAAGGGGCCUGCACCCUGUAUUAUCUCCGGAGAAAGACUCGGAUUAUACAGUCAGCUUGGAAAACUAAGGUGUGACUAGAAGCAGGGCAAGCACAGCCACUUCAUGGAAGGCAAACAUGUUUCGAGUUUUAACCUCCAUAGUUCCUAUUGUUACCUUCUCUUUCUGCAGGAUGGUUUUUACUGGCCAAUAGAAAACUGCCAAUUUUCUUAUAGGGUAGAAAGACAGAUUGCCUAGAGCUAAAAGAUACAUAUUAUCCCAGACUACCCAAAUUCAUAACAUUAAUAUAACUGCUUCCAAAUGAUCAAAAGUGCAAACCUGGGAACAUGAUAAUAAUUUCACAUAAAUUGUACAUAUAUAGAUCAAUUAGAUCUAUUUCUAUUUUAAAACAAUGAAAGUACUUCACACCUAUGAAAUUAGACAUCUUUUCCUAUCAGUUCGGCUUCAGGCUUCUGAUGGACAAUAUUUUAGAGGAAAUAUCAAAGCUGGAUCUGCAGAACUGAUUAACUUCAAGAUGGCGGCAGGUUUCAUUUACUGAAAACAAUGUAUUGCAUAUGUUAUUUGCUAAUUCAGAAAUCUCUAGGGAUACUUCUUGCCAGGUCAAAUUAACAUCCCUUCUUCAGCAGUUCUACACUGUGUGGCCUAAUUUGGGAUUUCUAUACAUACAUCCCACACAGAUGGGAAGAUCUCAUCUGUGUUUCAAGAGUUUUGUGUUGUUCUCACUUCGUACCUUCUGGGCCUGGGAUACCUCUCCCCUUUGUAAUCAGUGAAAUUUAACACAUGCUUCCAAGCUACUUCAAAUCUCGACUUCUCAUCAAACCUUUCCCUAAAUGUACACUUCUCUGAGGGAUUACUGUACCUCCUACACCAGCACUCAUUUUGAUACCCACACUUUAUAGAUAUAUUACAUCUACUACUUUACAUUAUUUGUUAAUUACUUUUAUGUAUCUAACAUGCCCAGUCAGUAGAGCACACAUUUCUAGAAAGCAAAGAUGGUAUUUUAGAGCUACUUUCUAUUUCCUGUAAUAUCUAUUACCACAUUCAACAAAUCUCCAUCCUGAACAGCUCCCACUGGACCCUAGACUUCUUUAUACAUCCAUCUACUCAACAUCUCCCCUUGGAAAUCUCUAACAGGUAAUCUAACUUACUAUAUCUAAAACAAAACUCCCCAUCUUUUCCCUCUAAAAUUUGCCCCUCACAUAAUUUUCUUUUUCUCAACUUUUGGAAGCUCCAUUCUUUUGGUUGUUCAUGCUGAAACACCUUGGAUUCAUCUUUCUGUCAUUGUCCAUCUCUAAUUCAUCAUGAAAUCAUAUCACUUCUAUCAUCAGAACAAUUCCAAAAUGUGAUCACUUAUUCUGCUUCCAUUGCUAUCACUUUUGCCAAGCCACCAUCAUCCUUCUCCUAUUACAAUACUCUUACACAAUAUGUGAAUGAACUGGUCUCCUUGCUUCCAUCCUGCAUGCAUCAAUCCAUUCUCAACAUAAGAGCCAGGAGGGCCUUUGGAAACAUAAGUCAGGUCACGCCUUUCAUCUUCUCAAAUCCCUCCAAUGGCCUCACACUUUAGAGUUAACAUCAAAGUCUUAACAGGGUAAGUACACAACUCUGAACAGUGACCUAUAAAGCCCUAUAGACCAUUAUCUCUUUAUCUCCUCUUUCCACCACUCCCUGCAUUACAGCGCACUGGCCUCCUUGCCUCCUGGAAUACUCCACAAAAACUCAUUACCUCAGGGUAUUUUCCUUUGCUGUCCCUUCAGCCUGGAGUGCUUUUCUCUAUUUAAAUUGCACCUACAAACUCCUUUGGCGAUACACCUUUGGAUAAACCUUUCCACUUAAUUUUUGUUCUCCAGAGUACUUAUCACUACCUAACAUUCUAAAAUAUUACUUAUCUUUAUUAUUGUCUAUCUCCCUCCACUAGAACAUAAAUAUUUUGUGGGUAGGUAUUUCUGUGUGUUCUGUUCACUGCUCUAUUGCCCACUGCCAGAAUAUUUCCAGUCCAGAAGUGAAUGCUCAAUUAUUAUUUUGAUGAAGACAUGAAUAAAUGAUUGAGAAUGAACAAGAAGGAAAUAAGGUCUCACUAAGAGUAAAGUAUAAAAUAAAUGGAAAUUGCUCUGAAAAAAAUUUCAGAGAAAGGCACUACUCAAAGAAAGUGCAUUUCUCCUCUGGCAUAGAUAGUUGUAUGUGCCUCGCUCCAGGUCAAACUCAGACACUGGUUACAUACAUAACCACAGGAAAGGUCUGAAACUCUUUUUGCCUUGGGUACACACACACCUUUAAACUUGCUCUGAUGCUUGCCUUUGACCUGAGGGCUUUAUAUGUUAUUUUGUAAAUUUCCCUCAUCCUUUCUUCUCUGUGAAUAUUUAGGUUCUAAAAUAGAUUUGGCUAUCUAUCUCUUUAUUCUAUAACCUGGUUGUGGAAAUAUGAUACAGGAUUGGUAAAUUAAAUAAUCUUUAUUAUUCCAAACUUUACAAUCCAAUGCAAAAAAAAGUAAAGAACUAUAAACCAUACAUUUAAAACAUAAAGACAUAUUUAGCCUUUAUAAUACUACAUUUUAAUCCUGAGCUUGACAAUUAUAUACUUAAUAUAAUAACACUGACUCAUUCAUAGUAUUUGCUCAGUAGAUGUUCGUUUAACAAAAAGACAGUUAAGGAAAAAAACUUAGCACAGAGAAUGUGUGCUCAUUCAGGAGGCGAUAAAUGAGGAGAAGGAGAGGGAAGAUGUUACAAGAUGACCACGUGUGAUCAGAGACCAUGUGUCUCUUACUGAGUUUCCUCAUUAUCUCACAUGGCUUGCGGAAGGACACAGGGAUUUAAGAACUUUUAUUUAUAUUAAAGAGAGAGAGAGAGAUGUCCCAUGGACCAUAUAAUCCCUAGGCUACAUAGGAAAAUCACCAAAAGAAUUAAUGUGUUUGGAGAAACUUUAGAAAUACACACUUAAGAAGAGUGAAGGAUAUUUGGUAACUGCUAGAAUCAGAGAAGAGAUCUUUAAUUUAGAAGGUAAGCAUCUUGAAUAUCAUCUCAGCAUAAAAGGACUAUUCAUGUUUUAAAGUACCUAUAUGCCAGCCUCUGGACUAAAUGUAGAGAUGAAUAAAACAUCACUGUGCUCAAGGAAUUUGCAGCCUUUAAAGGGAGAAACAUAGUGAAAUAAAUGAAUCCAACAGACAGUGUUGAGUGUAUACGGGUUACGUAACCAAGACCACUGGUGGGUCAGGGGAGGCUGAAGGAGUAAAAGCUGGGAUUAAGACUGAAGGAAGAGUUGGAGUUAGUAGACAGAGUAAGGGUUGGAAAAAGAACGAUGAAAGAGAAAACUAUACAUUGGAGGACAUGGAGGAAGGUCAGUGUAGUUGAAUUUCAAGUGGAUUGGAAAGCAAGAGGAAGGCAGAGGGGAAAGAAGAAAGUAAGAGAAGAUAAUUUAAAAUGAGACUGGGGGACUCCCCAUCGUGGCUCAGCGGACGAAUCCAACUAGUAUCCAUGGCGAUGUGGGUUCAAUCCCUGGCCUCACUCAGUGGGUUAAGGAUCCAGCAUUGCCUAGAGCUGUGAUGUAGGUCACAGAUGCAGCAUGGAUCUGGCGUUGCUGUGGCUGUGGCAUAGGUCAGCAGCUAUAGCUUCAAUUUAAUCCCUAGCCUGGGAACUUCAAUAUGCUGUGGGUGCAGCCUUAAAAAAUAAAUAAAUAAAUAAAUAAAUAAAUAAAUAAAAUAAAAUAAAAUGAGACUGGGGAAGUAGACAAGUAAGGGCAAGAUUACAAAGGAUUUGUUUGCCUUUGGGAGAAAGUCUAAUUUUAUUCUAAGAAUAAUAGGGAGCAAUUGAAGUAUUAUUAUAAGAAAAGCAAUGAUAUAAUUAAAGUAGAAUCUGCACUUAGAAAGCUCUGCCUACGGCAUGCAGAAAAGACAAGAAAGACAAUGCUGAACAUUGAAUCCUGUUGGAGGCUCUUUCAAUGACACAAGCAAGAAACAGCACAGGCCUGAGUCAGGGCAGUGAUGAUGUGGAGGAAAACAAGAGGGGCAGAUCUGAGAGAUGUUAAAGAAAUGAAUUUGGGGAAACACUGCAGAAAACAUCAUAAAAAAGAAGAAAGGUAAUGAGGCAAAAUGGUUAAGAUCAGAUGGAGAGAAGCGGUACUAGAAAUGGGCAAUCCAUGGAGUUCCCAUCAUGGCACAGCAGAAACGAACAUGACUAGAAACCAUGAGGUUGUGGGUUUGAUCCCUGGCCUCGCUCAGUGGGUUAAGGAUCUGGCGUUCCCCCGAGGUGUGGUGUAGGUCACAGAUGUGGUUUGGAUCUGGUGUUGCUGUGGCUGUGGUGUAGGCCAUCUGCUAUAGCUUUGAUUUGACCCUAAGCCUGGGAACCCCCAUAUGCUGCAGGUAUUGCCCUAAAAAAAAAAAAAAAAAAAAAAAAAAA
rnacentral:lncRNA from 1 species